AGGCAUGCGAGUCGAGAGGGUUCGGCCCUCGGCAGACGGCUCAGUAACACGUGUGAUAAUCUGCCCUUAGGUGGGGAAUAAUCUCGAGAAAUUGAGCAUAAUGCCCCAUAGCUUUAGAAUGCUGGAAUGCUUCUAAGGCAAAAGCCCCGGCGCCUAAGGAUGAGUCUGCGGCCUAUCAGGUUGUAGUGAGUGUAACGGACUCACUAGCCGACGACGGUUACGGGUCCUGGAAGGGAGUGCCCGGAGAUGGACUCUGAGACACGAGUCCAGGCCCUACGGGGCGCAGCAGCUACGAAAACUUCACAAUGCGGGAAACCGCGAUGAGGGAAUUCCAAGUGCUUAUACUUUGUAUAAGCUGUUUACUUGCCUAAAAAGCAGGUAGAGUAAGGGCUGGGUAAGACUGGUGCCAGCCGCCGCGGUAAUACCAGCAGCUCAAGUGGUGAUCGUUUUUAUUGGGCCUAAAGCGUCCGUAGCCUGUUUGGUAAACCCUUGGGUAAAUCGGGCAGCUUAACUGUCCGAAUUCUGAGGAGACUGCCAGACUUGGGACCGGGAGAGGUCAGAGGUACUCUUAGGGUAGGGGUGAAAUCCUGUAAUCCUAAGAGGACCACCAGUGGCGAAGGCGUCUGACUAGAACGGGUCUGACGGUAAGGGACGAAGCCCUGGGUCACGAACCGGAUUAGAUACCCGGGUAGUCCAGGGUGUAAACGCUG
rnacentral:rRNA from 1 species